rnacentral:rRNA from 1 species
GAUGAACGCUAGCGACAGGCUUAACACAUGCAAGUCGAGGGGCAGCAUAAAAGUAGCAAUACUUUGGUGGCGACCGGCGCACGGGUGAGUAACGCGUAUGCAACCUACCUAUCAGAGGGGAAUAACCCGGCGAAAGUCGGACUAAUACCGCAUAAAACAGGGACACCGCAUGGUGAUAUUUGUUAAAGAAAUUCGCUGAUAGAUGGUCAUGCGUUCCAUUAGGUAGUUGGUGAAGUAACGGCUCACCAAGCCGACGAUGGGUAGGGGAACUGAGAGGUUGGUCACACACAAUGGUACUGAGACACGGACCAGACUCCUACGGGAGGCAGCAGUGAGGAAUAUUGGUCAAUGGGCGAGAGCCUGAACCAGCCAAGUCGCGUGAAGGAAGAAGGAUCUAUGGUUCGUAAACUUCUUUUGCAGGGGAAUAAAGUGCAGGACGUGUCCUGUUUUGUAUGUACCCUGAGAAUAAGGAUCGGCUAACUCCGUGCCAGCAGCCGCCGUAACAC